rnacentral:rRNA from 1 species
CCUACGGGAGGCAGCAGUGGGGAAUAUUGGACAAUGGGCGAAAGCCUGAUGCAGCGAAGCCGCGUGAGUGAGGAAGUAUUUAGGUAUGGUAAGCUCUAUCAGCAGGGGAGAAAAUGACGGGACCUGUCUAAUAAGCCCCGGCUAACUACGUGCCAGCAGCCGCGGUAAUACGUAGGGAGCAGGCGUUAUCCGGAUUUACUGGGUGUUAAGGGAGCGUAGACGGAAUUGCAGGUCUGAGGUGAAAAUCCGGGGCCCAACCAUGGAACUGCCGUGGAAACUGUAUUGCUAGAGUGUCGGUGAGGCAAGUGGAAUUCCUGGUGUAGCGGUGAAAUGCGUAGAUAUCAGGAGGAACCCCAGUGGCGAAGGCGGCUUGCUGGGCGAUGACUGACGUUGAGGCUCGAAAGCGUGGGGAGCAAACAGGAUUAGAUACCCGGGUAGUC